CACGUAGGGCGCAAGCGUUGUCCGGAAUUAUUGGGCGUAAAGAGCUCGUAGGUGGUUUGUUACGUCUGCUGUGAAAACCUAGGGCUUAACCCUGGGCUUGCAGUGGAUACGGGCAGACUAGAGGUAGGUAGGGGAGAAUGGAAUUCCUGGUGUAGCGGUGAAAUGCGCAGAUAUCAGGAGGAACACCGGUGGCGAAGGCGGUUCUCUGGGCCUUACCUGACACUGAGGAGCGAAAGCGUGGGGAGCGAUCCGG
rnacentral:rRNA from 1 species